AGCAGCCGCGGUAAUUCCAGCUCCAAUAGCGUAUAUUAAAGUUGUUGCAGUUAAAGAGCUCGUAGUUGAAUUUCGGGAUCAAAUUGUCGGUCGUGCCUCGGUACGCACUGGUAUUAUUGGUUCCUACCUUCUGAAGAACCGCGAUGUCAUUAAUUUGGUGUCGUGGGGAAUCAGGACUGUUACUUUGAAAAAUUAGAGUGUUUAAAGCAGGCUUACGCUUGAAUACAUUAGCAUGGAAUAAUGAAAUAGGACGUUUGAUUCUAUUUUGUUGGUUUCUAGGAUCGACGUAAUGAUUAAUAGGGAUAGUUGGGGGCAUUAGUAUUCAAUUGUCAGAGGUGAAAAUUCUUGGAUUUAUUGAAGACUAACUACUGCGAAAGCAUUUGCCAAGGAUGUUUUCAUUAAUCAAGAACGAAAGUUAGGGGAGUCGAAGACGAUCAGAUACCGUCGUAGUCUUAACCAUAAACUAUAGCCGACUAGGGAUCGGAUGAUGUUAAUUUUUAAUUGUACUCAUUCGG
rnacentral:rRNA from 1 species